UACGAAGGGGGCUAGCGUUGCUCGGAAUUACUGGGCGUAAAGCGCACGUAGGCGGGUCGCUAAGUCGGGGGUGAAAGCCCGGAGCUCAACUCCGGAACUGCCUUUAAAACUGCAUCGCUUGAAUCCAGGAGAGGUGAGUGGAAUUCCGAGUGUAGAGGUGAAAUUCGUAGAUAUUCGGAAGAACACCAGUGGCGAAGGCGGCUCACUGGACUGGUAUUGACGCUGAGGUGCGAAAGCGUGGGGAGCAAACAGG
rnacentral:rRNA from 1 species